rnacentral:rRNA from 1 species
AACGAACGCUGGCGGCAGGCUUAACACAUGCAAGUCGAACGGGCAUAGCAAUAUGUCAGUGGCAGACGGGUGAGUAACACGUGGGAACCUUCCUAGAGGUACGGAACAACGCAGGGAAACUUGUGCUAAUACCGUAUACGCUCGAGAGAGGAAAGAUUUAUCGCCUUUAGACGGGCCCGCGUAGGAUUAGGUAGUUGGUGAGGUAACGGCUCACCAAGCCUACGAUCCUUAGCUGAUCUGAGAGGAUGAUCAGCCACACUGGGACUGAGACACGGCCCAGACUCCUACGGGAGGCAGCAGUGGGGAAUCUUGGACAAUGGGCGCAAGCCUGAUCCAGCCAUGCCGCGUGAGUGAAGAAGGCCUUCGGGUCGUAAAGCUCUUUUACCAGGGACGAUAAUGACGGUACCUGGAGAAUAAGCCCCGGCUAACUCCGUGCCAGCCGCCGCAGUAAAAC